rnacentral:rRNA from 1 species
ACGAUUACUCCUACGGGAGGCAGCAGUGGGGAAUUUUGGACAAUGGGCGAAAGCCUGAUCCAGCCAUUCCGCGUGAGUGAAGAAGGCCUUCGGGUUGUAAAGCUCUUUCGCAAGGAAAGAAAACUCAUUUCCUAAUACGAGAUGAGGAUGACGGUACCUUGACAAGAAGCACCGGCUAACUACGUGCCAGCAGCCGCGGUAA